GCUGGCAGGAUUACAACCAGCUCAGACAGUUGUAGCACAGGCAUCUCUGGAUGAAUAUCUCUUUGAGCGCCUCACAGUCAAGCAUGACUAGGAGGCCUCUGCACCUUC
rnacentral:miRNA from 14 species